rnacentral:rRNA from 1 species
GACGUAGGAUGCAAGCGUUGUCCGGAUUUAUUGGGCGUAAAGAGUUCGUAGGUGGUUUGUUAAGUCUGAUGUUAAAGACUGGGGCUCAACCUCGGAAAUGCAUUGGAUACUGGCAGACUUGAGUGUGGUAGAGGCAAUCGGAAUUCCAGGUGUAGCGGUGAAAUGCGUAGAUAUCUGGAAGAACACCGGUGGCGCAAGCGGAUUGCUGGGCCAUAACUGACACUGAGGAGCGAAAGCGUGGGUAGCAAACAGG